rnacentral:rRNA from 1 species
UACAGGGGGUGCAAACGUUGCUCGGAAUCACUGGGCGUAAAGGGCGCGUAGGCGGGAUGGCAAGUCGGUCGUGAAAUCCUUCGGCUCAACCGAAGAACGUCGGCCGAUACUGCCGUUCUUGAGGGAUGCAGAGGAGAUUGGAAUUCCCGGUGUAGCGGUGAAAUGUGUAGAGAUCGGGAGGAACACCGGUGGCGAAGGCGGGUCUCUGGGCAUCUCCUGACGCUGAGGCGCGAAAGCGUGGGGAGCAAACGGG